UACGGGGGGGGCAAGCGUUGUUCGGAAUUACUGGGCGUAAAGGGCUCGUAGGUGGCCAACUAAGUCAGACGUGAAAUCCCUCGGCUUAACCGGGGAACUGCGUCUGAUACUGGAUGACUUGAGUUUGGGAGAGGGACGCGGAAUUCCAGGUGUAGCGGUGAAAUGCGUAGAUAUCUGGAGGAACACCGGUGGCGAAGGCGGCGUCCUGGACCAACACUGACACUGAUGAGCGAAAGCCAGGGGAGCAAACGGG
rnacentral:rRNA from 1 species